UGUCACUUUAUUUGCUUGAAACACACUGAAAAACAUUAACAUACACACAGACUUUAUAAGGCCCGGCUCCUUACUCCAUAGGGGUCGUGACAGGAAAACAUCUAAGGACCAGGUCAGCUGCUUACACACACACGGCAGCGGUAGACUUUUCUCUGCUCCUGCCACAAUGCAGUGAGUGGUCAGAAGCUGCUGGAGUGAAUGAUGCAAUCUCAACUGUUGAACUAUAAACGUUGUCAGACAAACUAACUGAACCAUGAUGUGAAGUUUUUUAAAAGUGGUGUGAAUUUUAUUUAAAGGCAGUUUAAGAUACAUUCUCAUAUUUUGUCUGUCACAUUGAUGACUUUCAUUAAGAUUUUCAUAAAACUGUUAAAAGUCAAAAGUAAAAAAUCACUGAUACAGUUUAUACAGUUAUAAAUAGAAACAAAAACACCAAAAGUAAAUGAAACAUUUAAAAUAUAUAUAUUCAAUAAGUUAUAAUAGGUUCAUGUGUGACCCCAAUGCAGAGAACAGACACAAUGUAAGUCCAGUGUUCUUUAUUCAGCAAUGCAGGGACGGUUUAGGGUCAGAUAUAGGAAACUGUCCAAGGUAGAGGUGCCCUCAGGAAACAUGGAAUGGCAGCGUGGGUCAGUAACAUGAGGAAAGAACACUGAUGAAGCAGGAACUGGGAGGGACACCAUGAGGCACUACACUAGAGGGAGCCAGAGACCAGAGGGAGAACAUGUGAACCCGGAAACCACUGGACAAGAAGUAAAGGUACUCGGAGAAUAAUGCACAGGAGAUGACUAUCAUGGAGGAGAAUCACAGGAGAUCAACCAUCUAAAAUAAUCUAAUAUGGAAUAUAUUAUGGAGCUGAUGACCGCAACACCCAAACACCACAACAGAACAUCAGAAACGUGAACGUGAUCAUUUGUUCUGGGAGCAAACAUUGAUGCUGCACAUCACUGCACCCCAAACACUACAGAACCUAGGCUACAUGGCACCUGGAUGGCAACCACCCAAACAGACACUGUGGAAACCUCUCCAGGUUUCCAGUGACCAGCUGUCUGCAGCAGUGACCUUGACACGGUUCAGUACAUCCGAAGACAUGAUGAGCAGUGUUAAGAUCAUUUCUGAACAUUUUAUAACCUGACAAAGUGCACGUGGACUCUGUGUUUUGACAUUUUAAACACUGGUUUGUGACUUUUGUAACCAUCACUAGAACUAGCCGACAAUCCUCACCUGGUUACCUGAACCAUAACAGCUG